rnacentral:rRNA from 1 species
GCGAUACCCGAAUGGGGAAACCCAGUGUGAUUCGUCACACUAUCAUUAACUGAAUCCAUAGGUUAAUGAGGCGAACCGGGGGAACUGAAACAUCUAAGUACCCCGAGGAAAAGAAAUCAACCGAGAUUCCCCCAGUAGCGGCGAGCGAACGGGGAGGAGCCCAGAGCCUGAAUCAGCAUGUGUGUUAGUGGAAGCGUCUGGAAAGGCGCGCGAUACAGGGUGACAGCCCCGUACACAAAAGCGCAUGUGCUGUGAGCUCGAUGAGUAGGGCGGGACACGUGGUAUCCUGUCUGAAUAUGGGGGGACCAUCCUCCAAGGCUAAAUACUCCUGACUGACCGAUAGUGAACCAGUACCGUGAGGGAAAGGCGAAAAGAACCCCGGCGAGGGGAGUGAAAAAGAACCUGAAACCGUGUACGUACAAGCAGUGGGAGCACCCUUUGGGUGUGACUGCGUACCUUUUGUAUAAUGGGUCAGCGACUUAUAUUCUGUAGCAAGGUUAACCGAAUAGGGGAGCCGGAGGGAAACCGAGUCUUAACCGGGCGUUAAGUUGCAGGGUAUAGACCCGAAACCCGGUGAUCUAGCCAUGGGCAGGUUGAAGGUUGGGUAACACUAACUGGAGGACCGAACCGACUAAUGUUGAAAAAUUAGCGGAUGACCUGUGGCUGGGGGUGAAAGGCCAAUCAAACCGGGAGAUAGCUGGUUCUCCCCGAAAGCUAUUUAGGUAGCGCCUCGUGAAUUCAUCUCCGGGGGUAGAGCACUGUUUCGGCUAGGGGGCCAUCCCGGCUUACCAACCCGAUGCAAACUGCGAAUACCGGAGAAUGUUAUCACGGGAGACACACGGCGGGUGCUAACGUCCGUCGUGAAGAGGGAAACAACCCAGACCGCCAGCUAAGGUCCCAAAGUCAUGGUUAAGUGGGAAACGAUGUGGGAAGGCCCAGACAGCCAGGAUGUUGGCUUAGAAGCAGCCAUCAUUUAAAGAAAGCGUAAUAGCUCACUGGUCGAGUCGGCCUGCGCGGAAGAUGUAACGGGGCUAAACCAUGCACCGAAGCUGCGGCAGCGACACUGUGUGUUGUUGGGUAGGGGAGCGUUCUGUAAGCCUGUGAAGGUGUGUCGUGAGGCAUGCUGGAGGUAUCAGAAGUGCGAAUGCUGACAUAAGUAACGAUAAAGCGGGUGAAAAGCCCGCUCGCCGGAAGACCAAGGGUUCCUGUCCAACGUUAAUCGGGGCAGGGUGAGUCGACCCCUAAGGCGAGGCCGAAAGGCGUAGUCGAUGGGAAACGGGUUAAUAUUCCCGUACUUGGUGUUACUGCGAAGGGGGGACGGAGAAGGCUAUGUUGGCCGGGCGACGGUUGUCCCGGUUUAAGCGUGUAGGUGUGUGUUCCAGGUAAAUCCGGUUCACUUUAACACUGAGGCGUGACGACGAGGCACUACGGUGCUGAAGCAACAAAUGCCCUGCUUCCAGGAAAAGCCUCUAAGCAUCAGGUAACAUCAAAUCGUACCCCAAACCGACACAGGUGGUCAGGUAGAGAAUACCAAGGCGCUUGAGAGAACUCGGGUGAAGGAACUAGGCAAAAUGGUGCCGUAACUUCGGGAGAAGGCACGCUGACACGUAGGUGAAGUGAUUUACUCAUGGAGCUGAAGUCAGUCGAAGAUACCAGCUGGCUGCAACUGUUUAUUAAAAACACAGCACUGUGCAAACACGAAAGUGGACGUAUACGGUGUGACGCCUGCCCGGUGCCGG